GGGAGGUCGGGGUUCUGGACGACGACCCCGGCCCCUGCCGGGGGCUGGGGGGCCGCGCGCCCAACCAGUUCGAUCUUCUGGGGCGAUGUCCCG
rnacentral:tRNA from 1 species